UUCCAGAAGAAAAUAAAACCCAACAUUAUUGUUGAUAGUAAAAUAAUAAAUUUUUUUUUUUUUUUUACUUUUGUCGUCAAUAUACGCGUUCUGUCACAAAUCAAAAACGUUGUUUAGUGAAAUGAUUUGCGGGGAUAGGCAUUAAUGAAAUAAUGUGUGAAAUUCGUUAUCCCGGAGGAAAUUGCGUGGGUAACGCCACGAGGAAACAGGAAAUGUCACUGGUGACAAGCUUUGAGUUAUGCACAAUUGACAGAGCGAGAAUUUUACAUAUAUAUACAAGUGUCAUUUGUAAGAGCUCAUACUCAAAGUAAAAUACAAUAAUGACUUUUCUUGACACCUAAGACGUGAAGCAACUAAUAAUAAUAUCACACCUAAUAUGAAAAGAUCAAUCCAUGCAACGGUGUUCGAGUAAUUCGUCCUCCCAGUUUGAAAAAAGUGGUUUCGAGAAAAACGCGUUUAAAGUAUAGAACGAACACACAAUGGGCCAGCAGACCUUUACAAUGUUCUAAAAUUCAUAAUUUCCGGAGUACAACAAAUUUAAAGCUUUUCAUGACGAAUUCUAUAGUUUUUGGGGUCACUGAUUACAAAUCUGUAGUCAGAUUUUGAAAAUUAAAAAUUGCGGAUCCAACAUGGCGUUGCUCAGUGUUCAGUCAUGACGCCUAUAUGAUGCAUUAGUGACACUCAAAGGGUUAAAAAAAAAUUUUUUCGCCAUAGGAUCACCUGCCUAUUGUUUCUACAAUCCUAAAGUACAUUUUAACAAAAAAAAAAAUCGUUUUUUUUUGAAAAUUCUAGAGUGGUGUUACAUCUUAAGUUUUUUUUCAACGUUAAUUUAGUCAUUGUGCAUCUAAAGUUAUUAUAAUAUCUCUAAUAUUACUCUUGAGUUUUGUGAAUGCAGAGAUUGCAAUUAUUGUUUUAGAAUAUAAAGACUGAAAACGUGUUGGUAUUAAUGACUUACAUACACACACAUAUAAAUACAAGAAUACACAAGACAUUACUGUGUCAAUAUUGAAAUCAACAAUUUGUAUUGAACAAUCGUAACACAAUCGAUUCCAAUUCUAGGAUUCAAAGCUAUUCUCAGUACCUUUAUGUGUGUGUAUCAAAUACUUAUCUCUGUACACUUUACAUGAAUGUAAACUUGCAUAACUUCUCAUAUCUGCUCUUUAUGUAAUUGUUAUUUCGCCUGUCAAGUCAAGUAAUUUAUUGUUUCUUUUUCUUUUCUAAAAUCCUUAUUUCCAACGAUACUGAAAUCCACAACUUUUAUUAACAAUUAGAAAAAAAAUUAUUUUUUAACAUGGGGAAUUAUAAAAAAUUAAUUUAUUUAAAAGAAUGUACG